GACGAACGCUGGUGGCGUGCUUAACACAUGCAAGUCGAACGGAAAGGCCCUGCUUUUGUGGGGUGCUCGAGUGGCGAACGGGUGAGUAACACGUGAGUAACCUGCCCUUGACUUUGGGAUAACUUCAGGAAACUGGGGCUAAUACCGGAUAGGAGCUCCUGCUGCAUGGUGGGGGUUGGAAAGUUUCGGCGGUUGGGGAUGGACUCGCGGCUUAUCAGCUUGUUGGUGGGGUAGUGGCUUACCAAGGCUUUGACGGGUAGCCGGCCUGAGAGGGUGACCGGCCACAUUGGGACUGAGAUACGGCCCAGACUCCCACGGGAGGCAGCAGUGGGGAAUAUUGCACAAUGGGCGGAAGCCUGAUGCAGCAACGCCGCGUGCGGGAUGACGGCCUUCGGGUUGUAAACCGCUUUCGCCUGUGACGAAGCGUGAGUGACGGUAAUGGGUAAAGAAGCACCGGCUAACUACGUGCCAGCAGCCGCGGUGAUACGUAGGGUGCGAGCGUUGUCCGGAUUUAUUGGGCGUAAAGGGCUCGUAGGUGGUUGAUCGCGUCGGAAGUGUAAUCUUGGGGCUUAACCCUGAGCGUGCUUUCGAUACGGGUUGACUUGAGGAAGGUAGGGGAGAAUGGAAUUCCUGGUGGAGCGGUGGAAUGCGCAGAUAUCAGGAGGAACACCAGUGGCGAAGGCGGUUCUCUGGGCCUUUCCUGACGCUGAGGAGCGAAAGCGUGGGGAGCGAACAGGCUUAGAUACCCUGGUAGUCCACGCUGUAAACGGUGGGUACUAGGUGUGGGGUCCAUUCCACGGGUUCCGUGCCGUAGCUAACGCUUUAAGUACCCCGCCUGGGGAGUACGGCCGCAAGGCUAAAACUCAAAGGAAUUGACGGGGCCCCGCACAAGCGGCGGAGCAUGCGGAUUAAUUCGAUGCAACGCGUAGAACCUUACCUGGGUUUGACAUGGAUCGGGAGUGCUCAGAGAUGGGUGUGCCUCUUUUGGGGUCGGUUCACAGGUGGUGCAUGGCUGUCGUCAGCUCGUGUCGUGAGAUGUUGGGUUAAGUCCCGCAACGAGCGCAACCCUUGUUCACUGUUGCCAGCACGUUAUGGUGGGGACUCAGUGGAGACCGCCGGGGUCAACUCGGAGGAAGGUGGGGAUGACGUCAAGUCAUCAUGCCCCUUAUGUCCAGGGCUUCACGCAUGCUACAAUGGCUGGUACAGAGAGUGGCGAGCCUGUGAGGGUGAGCGAAUCUCGGAAAGCCGGUCUCAGUUCGGAUUGGGGUCUGCAACUCGACCUCAUGAAGUCGGAGUCGCUAGUAAUCGCAGAUCAGCAACGCUGCGGUGAAUACGUUCCCGGGGCU
rnacentral:rRNA from 1 species